UACGGGGGGAGCAAGCGUUGUCCGGAUUUACUGGGCGUAAAGGGCGCGUAGGCGGCGCAACAAGUCACUUGUGAAAUCUCCGGGCUUAACCCGGAGCGGUCAAGUGAUACUGUCGUGCUAGAGUGCGGAAGGGGCUACUGGAAUUCUCGGUGUAGCGGUGAAAUGCGUAGAUAUCGAGAGGGAACACCUGCGGCGAAGGCGGGUAGCUGGGCCGACACUGACGGCUGGAUGCGGCGAAAGCCCAGGGGAGCGAACGGG
rnacentral:rRNA from 1 species